rnacentral:lncRNA from 1 species
AAAAAAAAAAAAAAAAAGUUGUUUGUGAGCUGGCCAAUGGUAAUAUUCUCUAGGAUUAAUUUAUCACAAAGGAAGAGAUACAUAAUUCAGAAGCUUAUUGUUACUUCAGAACAAAACAUGCAUGUAGGCACGAAGAUGUAUUCGACAGGAGAUUAUAAGAAGGCAAAGAGUACGUAUGAGAGCCGCACACACAAAACUAAUAGAGCUAAUCAUCCUGUAAAACACCUUUGCGAUAGUGACGAACAGCUAGCCGUAACCCCAUUUCUUUUUCAAAUUCACGUUCCAAAAGAUGGAUCGGAGAGUCAAGUAAGCAGGAAAAUUCUUGGCUUUGUGGUCCCUUGUGUUGUAGUUUGGCUCAACUUUAUUGAAGUAGGCAUGAGCAGCACCUAAGCCUUUAGUCUUGGCAAUGAGUUUAACAAAAAGUUUAAGCUCCAGUCCUGUGGAGCAAAACUCAUCUUCUUUCUAUCCAUCCACUCAAAGAUCUAACCAAAACAAAAAGGUUUCAUCAAUCGUAACAAAAUCUCAAGAAAAACAAGAAAGCAAUUAAUGAAUACAAAUGUUAUUAAUAGUAGAUGAGAUGAACCUCGGGGAUUUUUGUAUCUGGGCGGGCGACCCAGAUUUUGCUUAGUUCGGGUGGGUGACCCGGAUAAAAGGUAAUUGAAUCGGUAAAUAAUUCAAAUUAUGCAGGGCUUUAUAGUCUUUCACCGACCUUCCUUUUUUUUUGUUUUUUAAUGAUUUAAAUAAAAAGAAGAAGAAAGAAAUUCAUUUUUA